CCUCGAUCCCAGGCCGAGUUUUCGCUUUUAUAACGGUUAGGCGAACAACUGGGCCUGGUACUAGUUGUCUGCGCAUGCGUCAAUCGUUCGUCAGAUUCUGACUAAUGGAUAUUCUCGUUCACUUUCGUGACAUUUAUAUUCGUGUACUAUCGUGUACUAGAAGUCAGUUCCCGUUUUAUCAUUAUUGGAAUCGAUUGGAAUGGCUCUUAGCUGAAGCUUCUCUCUUCUCUGAAGCUUAUUCUGAAGACUGAACAACAAGGGAAGAGGUAUAAAGCUUUGUCAAGCUUGUUAAGGUCAGAUAUUUUUGUGUGGGCCCUAUGGCCGGCUAUGCUAUCAAGUCUUGUUCAUGUUUGGCAAGAAUGUAGGUAGACUAUAGUUUCAUCAUUAAUAUGGUGGAUCAAGUGAAGAGUGUGAGCUAGAGAACUUGGUGCUGCCAUCAUCAGCUCGUCGACAAUGACACUAUAACCGAGAAAUUUAAUAUGUAUAGAUCUACACGUAUUUAAAAUGUCUACUUCUCUGUACAGGAGCAAUGGCUAAUAUCCAGCUAUCCCAACAGUGCUCCUCUUGGCUAUACUAACGGACGAGACUGGACAGUUUGAGACACAGGACUGGAGUAUGACCUGCUCAUUCGAGCGUUGCUGGGUAGCUCAGAGACAUCAAGAGAAUCUACGUUUUCUCAAGCAAUGAGUUACGAGUUGGGGCCUAGAAUCAGAGAAGUCCAGCAGCCUGCUAAAUCUUUUUGAAACGUAAUUUGAAGGCAUUCAAUCAUCCUGAAGUUGCCCUGGGUCACUGUAAUUGUGCUGCAGCACAACUGGCAACUCCCCAGGCCCUUGUGAAGCAGCUCCCUAUGUGCAUCUUUUGUGUACUCACUCUGUGCAUUUUCUGUGUACAAAUUUCUAUUAUUGAUUUAUUAAAUAUUUUUGCCGACCACAAA